GUCACACAACAAGCCAGGUGCAGGCCCUUUUCCAACUCCAGAACCCAGUAGCGAUUCCCACCCACAGAGAUCAGCGUAGGCAUUUCCCUUCCCGGGUGGUCCUAGGUGCAAAGGUCCUUCUGAGGACACUCCAGAUCCACAGGCCUAGCCACUUUGGUCCCAGGAAGAGUUUCUAGAUCCCCACUUAACUCCACCUCCCCACUAGUAUAACUGGACAAAGAGUCAUCACCUGACCCAAACUGAGCCAAGUAAGGGUGCCAACUUGUCACCAUCGAUGUUGUUCGAGAUGGACGUGUGACAAAACAAAUCAGUCAGAGUUGUUCUUGUGGAUUUUUUUCUGUGACGGGGCCCAGAGUACUUUUAUUCUCGAUCAGUGGGAUUAACAUUUGUUUUGGAGGCCCCAGCGAGAUUCAAAGCACCUGCCCAAAUUCUAAAGCUGGACCUUUACUCUGGAACACUGGGGCUGAGGGACUUCCCCAGGAGGCAUGUGUCUUGAAACGUUCCAAGAGACUGAGGCUGCCUUCAGUUCGCAGACGAAUGGAGUGAACUUCCAUGUUGAGAAAAGCAUCAAGCAUCUAAGAAGCCUCCUGGAAAACCUCUUACCUUCUGGGCCUGGCAGCCAAAGUCCCGGUAUCUCUGCCCCUAACUCCAUGGAGAACACAGGAGCCUGGGAUGAUUGUCUAGGAGAUUUCCUUAAGGCUCUCGGUCUCUACAGCUGGGUCAGUGAACCAGAAGCUUCUGAUGAAUGCCCCACUGCCUGGAUUCCAGUCUCCUGGGCCCUGACAACACCACCCUUGCUUUAGCAGGAAGUAGUUACAGGAGAGUCUGUUGCCUCUGUUCCUCAACACUUUAGAAUGUUAGAUCAAAAGGAAACUCUCUAGCAUAGGGGACAAAAUAGCUACCUAUAGUGCCCAUAGGUACACCAGGCAAGAUACCUGUUAAAACCAAGUAGACCCAGAUCUAUCAACAGGAAUAGUCACUACCUGAAAUAAUUCUAUAGAGCUAUGACAGGGCACUCGACCUGCUCUACGUAAAACAGAGAGGUUACUGUACAGCUUUAAGAGAAAGUUGUUUCUAUAUAAACCAUUCAGAAAUUAUUAGAAAUGAUCUGUACUCGGAAAAAAAAUUGUUGCAAAGGGGACCUGAGAUGAAAUAAAUAACUGGUCCCCAUUCUCAUUUCCAGGUCCUUCUAGAUAGUAGCUCUGAUGUCAGCCAUCAAAGGGCCUUUGGCCCUUCUGCUUCAGCUAAUUGCUGUUGGCGCUUGCAUCACUACUGCCUUAACUAAAUGAUAAUUCCUGCCUGGGCACCAUUAGCUGAUGGUUAUUAGAUCCCAGUAUAAAUAGGUACCCAUCAAAGAGUCAAGGAUUUGACUCAGGAAACAACUCAAGGGGAGAGUGUAAGAGUCAAAGUUACAUUUCAGAUUUUAAUUACUAUGCCUUAGAGAUGCAUGAAACAAAAAUGUCUCUGAUCUGUAAGCCCCUUGCCCAAGGACAGAUAGUUCCCGAAAUGCUGGAGGCUGUUGUUUAUGGUUGAUAACAAGCCACAUGGUUUCCCUCCCCCAAAACAAGUUUGUUUGACUCACCUGCACAGGAUGUGUUUGAUCAGGUACGUGUGGGAAGUUCACAGGCAGGAAAUACAUCAGACGUAUUCUUGCCCCUGAUUGGACAUAGGCUGUUGGUAUGUAAGGACGUAUGUUAGCCCCUGAUUGGACCUGAUGGGAAUACUUAAGCUGCUGUAAACCUUGAUUUGGGGUCAUCUGGAAACCCAGGGAUGUACCUGCCUAGAGCCCAUCCAUCUGGUCAAUAUUUAACUAAAGCUUGCUCCAAAUUUGGCUUUAAA